AACGGAUAAUGGACAUGGUGAGC
rnacentral:piRNA from 1 species